GACGAAUCGUCCAAACGUUAUUCGGAAUCACUGGGCUUACAGAGUUCGUAGGCGGUCUGGAAAGUUGGGUGUGAAAUCCCUCGGCCUAACCGAGGAACUGCGCUUGAAACUACCAGACUCGAGGGAGAUAGAGGAAAGCGGAACUGAUGGUGGAGCGGUGAAAUGCGUUGAUAUCAUCAGGAACACCGGUGGCGAAGGCGGCUUUCUGGGUCUUACCUGACGCUGAGGAACGAAAGCCAGGGGAGCGAACGGG
rnacentral:rRNA from 1 species